UACGUAGGUGGCUAGCGUUGUCCGGAUUUACUGGGCGUAAAGAGCGCGCAGGCGGUCGUUCAAGUCGAGUGUGAAAGCCCCCGGCUCAACUGGGGAGGGUCACUCGAUACUGAUCGACUCGAAGGCAGGAGAGGGAAGCGGAAUUCCCGGUGUAGUGGUGAAAUGCGUAGAUAUCGGGAGGAACACCAGUGGCGAAGGCGGCUUUCUGGCCUGCUCUUGACGCUGAGGCGCGAAAGCUAGGGUAGCAAAC
rnacentral:rRNA from 1 species